rnacentral:rRNA from 1 species
AACGAACGCUGGCGGCAGGCCUAACACAUGCAAGUCGAGCGCUCACUUCGGUGGGAGCGGCGAACGGGUUAGUAACGCGUGGGAACGUGCCCUUCUCUAAGGAAUAGCCACUGGAAACGGUGAGUAAUACCUUAUACGCCCUUCGGGGGAAAGAUUUAUCGGAGAAGGAUCGGCCCGCGUUAGAUUAGAUAGUUGGUGGGGUAACGGCCUACCAAGUCUACGAUCUAUAGCUGGUUUUAGAGGAUGAUCAGCAACACUGGGACUGAGACACGGCCCAGACUCCUACGGGAGGCAGCAGUGGGGAAUCUUAGACAAUGGGCGCAAGCCUGAUCUAGCCAUGCCGCGUGAGUGAUGAAGGCCUUAGGGUCGUAAAGCUCUUUCGCCAGGGAUGAUAAUGACAGUACCUGGUAAAGAAACCCCGGCUAACUCCGUGCCAGCAGCCGCGGUAAUACGGAGGGGGUUAGCGUUGUUCGGAAUUACUGGGCGUAAAGCGCACGUAGGCGGAUCGGAAAGUUGGGGGUGAAAUCCCGGGGCUCAACCCCGGAACUGCCUCCAAAACUAUCGGUCUAGAGUUCGAGAGAGGUGAGUGGAAUUCCGAGUGUAGAGGUGAAAUUCGUAGAUAUUCGGAGGAACACCAGUGGCGAAGGCGGCUCACUGGCUCGAUACUGACGCUGAGGUGCGAAAGUGUGGGGAGCAAACAGG